AUUGAACGCUGGCGGAAUGCUUUACACAUGCAAGUCGAACGGUAGAGGGGGCAACCCCUCGAGAGUGGCGAACGGGUGAGUAAUAUAUCGGAACGUGCCCAGUCGUGGGGGAUAACGUAGCGAAAGUUACGCUAAUACCGCAUACGAUCUAUGGAUGAAAGCGGGGGAUCGCAAGACCUCGCGCGAUUGGAGCGGCCGAUAUCAGAUUAGGUAGUUGGUGGGGUAAAGGCCCACCAAGCCAACGAUCUGUAGCUGGUCUGAGAGGACGACCAGCCACGCGGGAACGGAGACACGGUCCAGACUCCUACGGGAGGCAGCAGUGGGGAAUUUUGGACAAUGGGCGAAAGCCUGAUCCAGCCAUUCCGCGUGCAGGAUGAAGGCCCUCGGGUUGUAAACUGCUUUUGUACAGAACGAAAAGGUUUCUACUAAUACUAGGAGCUCAUGACGGUACUGUAAGAAUAAGCACCGGCUAACUACGUGCCAGCCGCCGCCGUAA
rnacentral:rRNA from 1 species